AACGAACGCUGGCGGCGUGCUUAACACAUGCAAGUCGAACGCGAAAGGGAUUUCGGUCCUGAGUAGAGUGGCGCACGGGUGAGUAACGCGUAAGUUAUCUACCCCUCCAUCUGGAAUAACUCACCGAAAGGUGUGCUAAUACCGGAUACGUUGGAAACAAGAAAGGUGGCCUCUAUUUAUAUGCUACCGUGGAGGGAUGAGCUUGCGUACCAUUAGCUAGUUGGUAGGGUAAUGGCCUACCAAGGCAACGAUGGUUAGCGGGUCUGAGAGGAUGAUCCGCCACACUGGAACUGGAACACGGACCAGACUCCUACGGGAGGCAGCAGUGAGGAAUAUUGCGCAAUGGGGGAAACCCUGACGCAGCGACGCCGCGUGGAUGAUGAAGGCCCUUGGGUCGUAAAAUCC
rnacentral:rRNA from 1 species